rnacentral:rRNA from 1 species
AUGCAAGAUGCUGCUCGAGCUGCUUGCGUAUCUUAUGCAUUUAAACGUUCUUGGAGAUGCUAUCCUAACCUUGCUUUCGAUAUGAUAACAUUGGGCAUAGAUAUAGAAUCAUGUGGAGAGGACGAAAUAGCAAGGAAUUUUACCAGCAAAGUUGACCAUAUUUUGAAAAACCGCCCAUGCAUUGCCACCAAGACCCUCGAGAUUGUUUUCCGUUACUACAAUAUCGACGUCUGUAACAUUGAUAACUGGUUUCAGACUGCUGUUACACCAGGGAUUGAAGAACUCACUGUGGAACUAUCUUCAAACUCAGGAAGAUAUUACAACUUUCCGUGGUCACUUUUGGCUAAUGAGAGUGGAAACUCGAUUCAGUAUCUAAAUCUUGCCCGUUGUGCUUUCUCUCCGACUGGCGGGUUGUGCUUUAAAAGCUUGACAAGACUCGAGCUAAGCGACGUUCAUUUCACGGGGGACCAGUUGGGAUCGCUUCUUCAAAAUUCUUUUGCUUUGCAACGGAUGCAACUCAAGUGUUGCAAUACGAUAAUUUGCUUGAAGAUAUCGUUUCAUCUACAACAGCUCAGAUAUCUGGACGUGUUUGACGGCAGUACCUUGCUGCAGGUUAUAGAGGUAGAAGCUCCAAACCUCUCUAAUUUCCAGUUUAUGGGUCAUCGCCAAGUACAACUAUCACUUGCAGUAGGAUUGCAAUUCAAGAAGUUCGACCUGUCCUUUCCUGGUGCUGUCAGCUAUGUUUGUUCUGCUUUUCCGCCCAGCUUGCGAUAUGUUGCAGCUCUUUCCCUAGGUUCAUGGCGUGAGCAAAUUCUUACAUCUCAAGCACUUGAGUGUUGA